CUAAUAUUAUUUUUUUUAAUAGGUCAGAAGUUUGUACUUUUACUUUAUGGGAAGGAUUGGCAACAGUUGAAGGGAAACAAUUGGAAGAAUCAAGAAAUGAAAAAACAAUCAUUCUAGCAAAAGGCAUCAUUGGCAAAUAUUUUAAUGGUUUCAUACUCUCAACAACGUAAUCUACAACUUUAGAAAUUAAUCCAAAUCUGCCAUCAUCAAAAGAACUCUUGGAUUUGUAUAAAAUUUUUAAUGCUUUACUUAAUCUUUUUUAUUUUAAUUAUCCUUAUUUUUACUUAUGAAAUAUUUCAAUUUACAGGUCUAAUAAAAAUAUUCAUCAACAUACAACAUCUGAUUUUGAUACAUAUUUGAUGACAAAUCUACAAAAUAUCAACACAUCUGAACAAUCAUUGGGAGAGGUAAAGUACUACUCUACAAGAGUAGUAAUAAAAGGACUUAAUCAAGAAGGAAAUCUAUAGUACAAUUCAUGCAAUACAUGUAAAUCAAAAAAUUUUAUUAUUGAUGGUAUUGCAAAAUGUUCAAAA